GAUGAAGAACGCAGCGAAAUGCGAUAAGUAGUGUGAAUUGCAGAAUUCAGUGAAUCAUCGAAUCUUUGAACGCACAUUGCGCCCCUUGGUAUCCCAUGGGGCAUGCCUGUUCGAGCGUCAUUUGUACCCUCAAGCUUUGCUUGGUGUUGGGUGUUUGUCCCGCGUUGCGCGUGGACUCGCCUUAAAGCGAUUGGCAGCCGGCAUAUUGGCCUUGGAGCGCAGCACAUUUUGCGCUUCUAGUCAUGAAUGUUGGCGUCCAUUAAGCCUAUACAUUUGCUCUUGACCUCGGAUCAGGUAGGGAUACCCGCUGAACUUAAGCAUAUCAAUAAGCGGAGGA
rnacentral:misc_RNA from 1 species